GACACAAGGGGAUAUAUUCUUUCUUUUUUCAUUUUCAUUUAUUUAUUUAAUUAAGUUAGAGUAUUUUUCCAUGGUUCCAUGAUUCAUGUUCUCUCCCUCCCCUCUUCCCACCCCCCUUUUGUAGCCAAUGAGCAAUUCCACUGUGUUUUACAUGUGUCAUUGAUCAAGACCUAUUUCCAUAUUAUUAAUAUUUGCACUAGGGUGAUCAUUUAGAGUCUACAUCCCCAGUCUUAAGGGGGAUAUAUUCUUGUCAAAGUAGUUACACUCUCUGUCUGUGACCUCUAAGAGAGAAUUGUGUAAGGAAUUACAUUUUAUGACUGGACUAAUAUAAGAGAAUGUGUUCGUUGAUUUUAAAAAUUAAUGCAGCUCAAGUCAAAAUGACUUUUUAGCAGCUCGAUUUACAAAAAGAGUGGAAGUAGAAAAAUGUAAAAGGAGGGUAAAGAAGAUACCUAACUUAAUACACUAAAUAUUUGUUUUAAGGGGGGAAAGGGGUUAAUUUUUAAAGGGUUGGACUGGAUUAUUUAAGAAUGUGGUUGCCAGGAAUUUAAUUUAUUCCAAAGAGAUUUAUUUAUAAUUUAUUUACAAAAUGUAGAAAGGGUGAAGUAAGAAAAUCAGAGAGAGGAUAAGGUAAGAUAUCUAGCCUAAGCACUAAAUAAUUUACUCCCGGCCCCUGGCACAACCUGGGCAGGGAUAGUUAGUCCUUUGGCCCUGGCAAAGGUGAGGACUUGGGGAAGUCUCUCUCAAGAGGUAAGUCUCUCCUGAGAUUAUUUUUUUCAGAAAAUCCAGCAGUUAAGAGUCAGCUUUUCACUCACCAUGUGUCAGUUCAAAAGAAGAGAUUUUAGAACAGCCUCACUAGGAACAGAGUCUUGGGUCUUGCCUCCACUCCAAAAAAUGAAUAAUUGUCUCCAGUCUCCACUCCCAAAGAAUGAAGAACUCUCCCUCACAGGAAGUAACAGCUCCUUUUAAAGAUGUUUCUUUUGCAUCACCUCCUGUGUCUUCCCCUAAUUUUAUCAAUUUUACCAAUCACAGUUGAAGCUUUGCUUUAAGACUGCCCAGGAGCAGUUAGUUUAAUUCUGAUUUGUCACCCACUAUUGCACACAUGGGUCACAGACCUCCCACUUAAUGAUUAAGUGGGAUGAUAAUCACUUUUGGUGAUUAGAUCUAAAAAUGGGCAGAUCUCCAUACUCAACUUUUAAGUAGGGUAUUUACACUUUUGGUAUUAAAUCUAAAAAUAGCCAGGGAUUACAAUUUUAAUCUUCUCAUUGUUCUGCUGCCUGGCUCCACUCUGGCAGGGCUCGUUAACCCCAGCCAGAGGGCCCAGUGAUGAAUUAAGCAAGGGUUUUACCCACUCAGCCUCCUCUGAUAGAGGGUGCUAAUCUCUCCAGAAGCCAGGAAAGGAGGGUCAGCUUUUUUUUCACUCAAUCAAUCCAAAGUCCAAAGGGAGAAGAUCCAAGAGCAGUCUUACCAGAAGAAAUUCAAGUCGCCAGCUACUGGAGAUCAUCAUACCCCAACUGAUUGACAAGGUCAUGGUCAGAGGAAGGAAGGUCAGCAAAGCAGACCCCAGAAUGAGGACCCCCUUUGUGACUUCUUUCCUCAAAUUUUCCCCACUAGUGGACUUGUUAUGAUUAUUAUUCUCUCCCCAAUUCAGGAGAAAUAAUAUGAGAGCAAAUACUUAUAGGAUCACUUAAAUAUAUACCCUACUUUAAGCCCCCUAGGUUAUUACCCAAAAAAGAUUGCAAUUACAAAAUAAAAGCCCAAAUAUUACUGCCCAUGACCCCUCCUUUUUCAAGCACAAGACAUGCUCCAAGGUCCUACAAUAAACACCAACCGAAAGCUUGAGUACUAUAAUGAAUCUUGCCCUACAGUUACCACACUCAAAUGAAUUUGUUGGAACAGAAGCCAAACAGCAUUGCUAGGCACUUCAAAGUAACACAAGAAAAACAGAACUUGUAAAUUAAGGGAAAACCCCAAAUUGGUCUGCCUUAAGUCAUCACACCUAGAUAUGAAUAUGUUUUGUUGUUCCUCUCGCAAGUAAUUAUGAUGGAUAGUGAAAGCUGACCAAAAACACAGCCAUCCUCUCAGCAGGUCAAGGGGUACUAAUACACAAAUGGCUUUAUUCACAUUAAUCAUAUCUAUCACAGAGUGCUGUAGAAACCUAACACAUGAUCACAGAAUUCUUUGUUGUAAUAAUAUUGCAAGAGUGUUGUUUAGAUGAUUUGAUAAUAUCCAAUCAAAUUGUAGAAUGUCACAUACAUAGAAGAUUGAUUGACUGUAUAACAGUCAUUAUCCGUAGCUAGGUUCUACCCUACAUCAAGCCCAAGAUGAAUUAAAGUCACUCCAAUUAAAAAACAAAAAAGGGGGAGAUGCCGGGAACCAUUAAAGACCACACUAUUUGACAUGGUCCAUGGGGAAACUGGGGACUGCAAAGCAGUCCCCAGGAAGGAUGGAAACACUCACUGAAACUCCCCUAAGUGAAUUUCUUUAUUAACAUCCCCUUAUUAUUGGAAAUGUCAUGAUUAUUAUUCUUACUUAGCCCCAGGAAAAAUAGAUGAGAGCAACAUGCUUGCAGUGUUAAUACAGAUGUCCCACUCUGUCCCCCCCAGGAUAUUACCAGGAGAGCCCAUUUACAAAAUUAAACCUAAGGAUUCUUAUAUACCCACUUAGAUAGGACCCUGUUUUCUAGGCAUAAAAACUUCUGGUAAAUCUGUGCUCUGAAUUCCCUGGCCUAUAUCUGGGUCAUGUUGAUUCUACCCACUGAUCCUGCCCUUAGCAACAAUGUUUCAUUGACUAUCUCCCUAGGCUUCCUGUCUGUUGUUAGGUUCUAUAGAAACAUGCAUGAUGAGAAUGAAACUGUAUGACAAGUAUAUGUGUGAUCAUGAGGGUAUUAAAAUAAAGCCAGGCCUCAGCCAAAGUAGAGCAGUUUAUCCUGUGAAACCUGUGCUGCAGGUUGAAUGCGAAAGCUGUGUCCCAUCCAUCAUUUCGCCAACACUGUCCCACCUCCAAGACCUCAUCCCCUGUGGGAAGCUGAUCCCCGCCCCCCAGCAGCCAGCCCCAGGUCCUUCACACUGAAGAUUCAGGCCGAAGACCGAAGACAACCAAAGACCUCUUGGACAGGAAGUUCAUUAUCUUUUAUAGUCCUUUUUUAUGUCACUUCCGGUCCCUUCCUCCACUUUAUGGGGACCAAUUGCAGUCUUUAAAUUUACUUAGCACUGUCCAAGGGGCAGUUAGUUGCUUCUGGAGGUGUAUCUCACUUAAGUAAGCUGUUUGUGAACCUCCUCUACUUAAUGUUAAGUAGGGAUGUCUUUGCUCUUGGUUGAUUAAACUUAAAAGUAGGCAAGGAGAGAGUCAAUCCCAUCUUCACAAUUGUGAAAGUUUGAUACUUUUCAUUUUUAAUAUUCCUUCUUGCCCCCAACAGAAAACGACAACUUGUGAGAGAGGCAUAUGGCAACUAGAGAAUGGUCUUUCUUGAGAAACUGACAGGUGAAGUCUUGGACCUUAGAUUCUUGGCAACCUUCUUCUUCUAGUCUAUUACUUCUUUUGAGUAUAAUCAGGGUCUUGGAGACAUGUCCAGACUGCCUGGGAUGCUACUUUAGGGAGAAUUUUAAUGAUGAAUAAGGGCCUGGAGUGACAUUGAAGAGAAUAGAGCCUGUAUGGACCAGAGCUGGUUUAGGUCAGCUAGCCACAUAGAGAAAGGAAGAUUCUCUAAUUGGUUUGGGGAAGGCCUGAGAAAGGCCUGCUAAUUUUGGUUAUUACCUCUUUGCCCCCUUCUUGUCUCUGUCUUCUAUUGUGGUCUGAUGAUAUGAUGGUAUCCCACAAGAGACUGUGCUACAAAGACAGACCUUCUUCUCUUCCUUUGAGAUCAUAUGACCAUUUGAUAAAUGGGGCCUCCUUGGCAUGUUUAGGCCCAGAGAACUCCAAUCUGGAUCUAACCCAAGUUUGCAGUCAAUGCAGCAUAGAUGCCUCAAAGAUCAUUCUUUGGGAGUAACCUUUUUGAACCUCAUUUUAGCAAAAGGAUUCAUUCAACAGUGAUGACAACUUCAAACAUGAACUUAGUGGGACCAGUGAUAUAUAAGAACUAAACUGAGUUUUGAGCUUAAUUUGCCUCCCCACACUACCUUCCACUAACCAAGAUGGUGUAGCAAGGAUUGUCUCCAAGAUAUUGGGGGAAAUGUUCAUGUAUUUGUUCUUUCUAUACCUUUGAAAUAAAAAUCCUUUUCUAAAAGUUACCCAAUAUUAAGUGAUUGAAUGGAAUAAGGGGGUUAGUCAUUGGCCCCCUAAAAAUAGGAGGGAAAUAGCUUGAGCUGAUAUAGGUAGAAAAGAGAUCACCUACAAAUCCCUCUAUAUAUCCUAGAGACCUAAGGAGAGAAAUAGUCCUGAGAGAGUGGAACCAGAGCAUAAUGUUCCAUGAGCCUGGUGAGAGACAUAAUCCUGAGAAUGAAAAUGAGGAGGCGAUGGGGAUAACCUGAUGGACAGCCCUGAAUUUAACGAGUUUCCAUUUUUUUAAAUUCUUGAAUUUAAGAGACUGAUACUGGCUUCUGAGAGAGAAUUCCUCAAAAGUGUGAAGUUUCAGAAGGAGAACUGCCCCACAGCUCAAGGAUUAAAGCCAAGCCAAGCCAAGAGAGGCCAGGAUGUCUUGACCUUGCUAACCCUCCAUGACAUUUCUGGCACAUCUUCUUGUCUGGCUGUCGGAUCUGUCACCUUCCAUUUCAAGCCCGAGUGAAAGUGGACAGGGAAGAAGGUGGGUGUUUCAGACACAGAGUAGCUCCCUGUGAUCCCUGUGGCAAGCAUCCAGGAGGAACUAAUAAUUAGUCAAGAUCUCAAAGCACUCUGAAGAAGAUUUCUCCCUUUUACCCUACAUUCUUACAAGUGGAUUCUCUGGGGAAACGGUCAAAAUAAGAACACUAGUUCACUUUU